GUAUGUGAGGGCGAUAGGACUGUCACCCCAUUGAUUACCAGGGUUGAUCUGGCUAAUCUGACUGGCUAGGCAAAUGUCUCCUUCCUCCUUCAAAGCACCAUGUGCAUUCCUCUUGAAGGUGUACACUCAGUCAAAGAGAACGACCAUCCUGGCUGAAGGAGGACCAUUCUUCCAUCAAGGGUAUAUGAGUAGCUGUGCCUCCCUGCUAGAAUCUCCAAACUAACUCUCGAGAUAACAUAUUUCUAAGUUGUAGAGUAACAUCACAACCAGAAUGUAGACAUUGAUACAAUCCACUGAUCUUAU
rnacentral:snRNA from 1 species